GAUGAACGCUGGCGGCGUGCCUAAUACAUGCAAGUCGAGCGAACAGACGAGGAGCUUGCUCCUUCGACGUUAGCGGCGGACGGGUGAGUAACACGUAGGUAACCUACCUAUAAGACUGGGAUAACUUCGGGAAACCGGAGCUAAUACCGGAUAAUAUUUCGAACCGCAUGGUUCGAUAGUGAAAGAUGGCUUUGCUAUCACUUAUAGAUGGACCUGCGCCGUAUUAGCUAGUUGGUAAGGUAACGGCUUACCAAGGCAACGAUACGUAGCCGACCUGAGAGGGUGAUCGGCCACACUGGAACUGAGACACGGUCCAGACUCCUACGGGAGGCAGCAGUAGGGAAUCUUCCGCAAUGGGCGAAAGCCUGACGGAGCAACACCGCGUGAGUGAUGAAGGUCUUCGGAUCGUAAAACUCUGUUAUUAGGGAAGAACAAACGUGUAAGUAACUGUGCACGUCUUGACGGUACCUAAUCAGAAAGCCACGGCUAACUACGUG
rnacentral:rRNA from 1 species